AGCAGUGUGGCUUAGUGGAAAGAGCCCGGGCUUGGGAGUCAGAGGUUGUGGGUUCUGAUCCCGCCUCUGCAA
rnacentral:tRNA from 1 species